rnacentral:lncRNA from 1 species
GCAACAAACCAGGACAAGCACACCCACUUUUGAGGAGUCCACUCGGUACAACCUCUGGUGUCCAAUAGCUUUCCUCUCUCCCUAGUCCUCUGGCUAGAAAUCUGAGGUAGCCAGAAGGAUCCCAUGAGCAAUAUGGGGAGUGGGUUAACCUUCCAUGUCCUUGCUUCCAAAGACUGUUGGUUAACCCACUCCCCAUAUUGCCCAUGGGAUCCUUCUGGCUACCUCAAAUUUCUAGCCAAAGGGCUGGAAAGGGAGAAAAGCUAUUCAACACCAAAGGUUGUACCAAGUGAACUCCUCAAAAGUGGAUGUGCUUGUCCUGGUUUGUUGCUCCAAAGCUCUGUAAUAAAGUUAUUUUACUAAAAGAGUGUAUAUGGCAUACAUUAAAUAAUAAGACUAAUGUACCGUAUAAUGGCAAUGUGUAUGUGCCUUAAAUUAUGUUUUAGCCUCCCAGGGCGGGUUGUGUGCCCUUAUUGGGAAUGAAUGUUGUACUUAUGUCCCGGAAAACUCACAGGACAUUAACAAGCACGUCCUGUCUGCCAAACAGGCUUUCAAGCAGUGGAAGGCCCACAGUUUUCGAUUCCCUUUGAAGUUGGUUGCCUGACCUAGGAGGACUGGGGGGUGGCCUUGUGCGUCUCCUCCUCACAGGUGUGGUACUGUGCCUGGUCAUGCUCCUCCGUAAGCUUUGUGCCCCCCCACUCCUCAAAAAUCCUGGCAUACCCUCUCAUUGAAAACCCCAGCUUCAUAGCACUUAAUCAUAUCUUGUCCACAGAAUAUGAGAAAACUCAGCCAAAGGCUUGUUGAGUAUUCUCAAAGGAGGGAGUUGUUGACAUCACUAGGCCUCACCCUAGGUAACUUGGGAGGGUGGAAGGCCACUAAGUGUCAAUGAAGCCUUCCUGCACUAGGCCUAAGUGAACCAAACUCUAUCCUUCCAUGUUUAAACUCUAAUCAACCUCAAAAGCCAGGUGCAAUUGGAAUAUGUAAGCAACCAGUUAUCUGUGUGCAACCCCCUGCUCAAGUGGUAAUAACGAGGCCUGCAUGUUUCUGGCUGAAGGGAAAAAGGACAAGAUAACGGUUUAAAGAAGUUACUAACAAGCUAGGCUUAUAGCUGCCAAGAAUGAUUUAACUGCUUAAAUGUAAUCGUUAUUUGCUUAUGUAAGCGGGGAAAUGGUCCCGCUAUUGUGGGGAACUUUCCUGGCUUCUGCACUACCCCGGUGAAGUGGCCUAGCGAAAGGAUCUGAGUCCUCGCUCCCACUUCCUUUACCCAGAGGCCUCCCUGCCCUUGAGGACUCCCCUUCCACUCUCCUGUCUGGCAGAGUCCUCG